CCUACGGGUGGCAGCAGUGAGGAAUAUUGGUCAAUGGGCGCGAGCCUGAACCAGCCAAGUAGCGUGAAGGAGGACUGCCCUACGGGUUGUAAACUUCUUUUAUCAAGGAAUAAAGUGAGGCACGCGUGCCUUUAUGAAUGUACUUUAUGAAUAAGGAUCGGCUAACUCCGUGCCAGCAGCCGCGGUAAUACGGAGGAUCCGAGCGUUAUCCGGAUUUAUUGGGUUUAAAGGGAGCGUAGAUGGGUUGUUAAGUCAGUGGUGAAAGGUUGCGGCUCAACCGUAAGAUUGCAAUUGAUACUGGCAGUCUUGAGUACAGUUGAGGUAGGCGGAAUGCGUGGUGUAGCGGUGAAAUGCAUAGAUAUCGCGAAGAACUCCGAUUGCGAAGGCAGCUUACUAAACUGCCACUGACGUUGAGGCUCGAAAGUGUGGGUAUCAAACAGGAUUAGAUACCCUGGUAGUC
rnacentral:rRNA from 1 species